rnacentral:rRNA from 1 species
GAUGAACGCUGGCGGCGUGCCUAAUACAUGCAAGUCGAGCGAACAGACGAGGAGCUUGCUCCUCUGCCGUUAGCGGCGGACGGGUGAGUAACACGUGGAUAACCUACCUCUUAGACUGGGAUAACUUCGGGAAAACGGAGCUAAUAACGGAUAAUAUAUUGAACCGCAUGGUUCAAUAGUGAAAGACGGUUUUGCUGUCUCUUAUAGAUGGAUCCGCGCCGCAUUAGCUAGUUGGUAAGGUAACGGCUUACCAAGGCAACGAUGCGUAGCCGACCUGAGAGGGUGAUCGGCCACACUGGAACUGAGACACGGUCCAGACUCCUACGGGAGGCAGCAGUAGGGAAUCUUCCGCAAUGGGCGAAAGCCUGACGGAGCAACGCCGCGUGAGUGAUGAAGGUCUUCGGAUCGUAAAACUCUGUUAUUAGGGAAGAACAAAAGUGUAAGUAACUAUGCACGUCUUGACGGUACCUAAUCAGAAAGCCACGGCUAACUACGUG